GCCCAGACUCCUACGGGAGGCAGCAGUGAGGAAUAUUGGUCAAUGGGCUUACGCCUGAACCAGCCAAGUCGCGUGAGGGAUGAAGGUACAGAGUAUCGUAAACCUCUUUUGUCAGGGAACAAAGGCGGGGACGUGUCCCCGGAUGAGUGUACCUGAAGAAAAAGCAUCGGCUAACUCCGUGCCAGCAGCCGCGGUAAUACGGAGGAUGCGAGCGUUAUCCGGAUGUAUUGGGUUUAAAGGGUGCGCAGGCGGAAUGUCAAGUCAGCGGUAAAAUUUCGGGGCUCAACCCCGUCGUGCUGUUGAAACUGGCGUUCUUGAGUGAGCGAGAAGUAUGCGGAAUGCGUGGUGUAGCGGUGAAAUGCAUAGAUAUCGCGCAGAACUCCGAUUGCGAAGGCAGCAUGCCGGCUCCACACUGACGCUGAGGCACGAAAGCGUGGGUAUCGAACA
rnacentral:rRNA from 1 species